GGGUCAGUAGGUUGGUCGUGCCACCGGUACGUACUGGUCUCACUGAUUCCUCCUUCCUGAAGAACCGUAAUGUCAUUAAUUUGGUGUUGCGGGGAAACAGGACUGUUACUUUGAAAAAAUUAGAGUGUUUAAAGCAAUCUAACGCUUGAAUACAUUAGUAUGGAAUAAUGAAAUAGGACGAUCGAUCCUAUUUUGUUGGUUUCUAGGAUUGACGUA
rnacentral:rRNA from 1 species